GAUGAACGCUGGCGGCGUGCCUAAUACAUGCAAGUCGAGCGAACGGACGAGAAGCUUGCUUCUCUGAUGUUAGCGGCGGACGGGUGAGUAACACGUGGAUAACCUACCUAUAAGACUGGGAUAACUUCGGGAAACCGGAGCUACUACCGGAUGAUAUUUUGAAUCGCAUGGUUCAAAAGUGAAAGACGGUCUUGCUGUCACUUAUAGAUGGAUCCGCGCCGCAUUAGCUAGUUGGUAAGGUAACGGCUUACCAAGGCAACGAUGCAUAGCCGACCUGAGAGGGUGAUCGGCCACACUGGAACUGAGACACGGUCCAGACUCCUACGGGAGGCAGCAGUAGGGAAUCUUCCGCAAUGGGCGAAAGCCUGACGGAGCAACGCCGCGUGAGUGAUGAAGGUCUUCGGAUCGUAAAACUCUGUUAUUAGGGAAGAACAGAUGUGUAAGUAACUGUGCACAUCUUGACGGUACCUAAUCAGAAAGCCACGGCUAACUACGUG
rnacentral:rRNA from 1 species